ensembl:lncRNA
CAAGAAUACUGAAGUGGGUUGCCAUGCCCUCCUUCAGGGGAUCUUCCCAACUUGGAUCGAACCCACAUCUCUUGUGGCUCCUGCAUUGGCAGGCGGGUUCUUCACCACUAGUGCCACCUGGGAAGCCCAGUCUCUGGCAUGGAGCUUGUUUAAGAGAUGACAUCAGGAGCCUCUGGUUCAGAGAAAUAUUGAGUCUUCUCUAAGAACUUUCAGUCAGCCUGCACUCCGGAAACCAAAUAUGACCUCUUUUCACUCUGACAGCUUCUGAGGAACAUGACUUACCUUCUCCAUUCUCAAGAAGGUACUUGGCUUCAUGACCUGACUGGCUCCUUGUCCAACAGGAAGUUGAAAGGUUUUCUAGUUACAGUAAGAAUAUCUCAGGUUGUAUGUGUCAUUUUAGUGCCAGAAAUUUACUGUUCCAAUCAUUCUUUUGGAAAUUCAGCCCACUUUUUAAAACACUUUUGUUAUAUUGGAGUAUAGUUGAUUUUCAAUGUUGUGCUUAUUUCAGGUAUACAGCAAAAUGAUUUAGUUAUACAUAUACAUCUAUUCUUUUUCAGAUUUUUUCCCAUAUAGGUUAUUAUUGGCAGUACAGUACCCUGUUCUAUACAGUAGGCCCUUGUUGAUGACUUAUUUUAUAUAUAGUAGUGUGUGUAUGUUAAUCUCAAACUCUUAAUUUGCAUCCCAUCUUUUCCCUUUAGUUACCAUAAGUUUGUUUUCUGAUUCUGUGAGUCUGUUUCUGUUUUG